rnacentral:misc_RNA from 1 species
UCCCUCGAAUGAGGGCAGUCUCGUCUGAAAAAUCCAACAGACGAUGAGGGUUUCGCUCGUUUACCCACUUAAGGGCACAGCUCACGCCACGAGCUGACGACAGCCGUGCAACACCUGUCUUGCCGCUCCCUUGCGGGCACGGUCCUAUUUCUAGGACCUUCGGCAGAUGUCAAACCCUGGUAAGGUUCUCCGGUUACCGUCGAAUUAAACCACAUGCUCCACCGCUUGUGCAAUUCCCCGUCAAUUCCUUUGAGUUUUAGUCUUGCGACCGUACUCCCCAGGCGGCACACUUAACGCGUUAGCUACGCUACAAGAAGGGUCGAUACUUCUGAUAGCUAGUGUGCAUCGUUUACGGCGUGGACUAC